rnacentral:lncRNA from 1 species
AAUAAAAAAAAAAUGUUUAAAAUAAUAAUUAGCAUCCACCGACCACCGACAAAACGUCGGGUUACGAUUAAGUGAAACGGGUCGGGUUGAAUAUGGCGAUUCUGGCAGUAGUAAUCUACCGAACAUGAAACAAACAGCAAAUUAAUACACAAUCAAUCCUAUGUAUUGAACAGUAAUUAACAGCCGAAUGAUUUGACUGAAACCGAAAUGGUUAAAAGAUUGAUUGGCAGUCGAAUCAAAGUAUCAAACCCAAGAAAAGUAAAAGAAGAAGAACAGUAUGAUCAUAAUUGAAAUUGGCAAAAGGGGCUUUGAAUUACCUUUUAGCAAGUUAACCGGAACUGUAGAGAAUCAGCGUGAGAGAGAUUUGAUGUAUGAUUGCAGCCUUAUUCGAUGAUCAAAAGUCAAAAGAGAAUAUAUUUGACAAAAUUGAUGGGUGGACACAAUGCUUUAUCUUCUUGGAAUGUGUGCAUUCUAAAUAA